rnacentral:rRNA from 1 species
GAUGAACGCUGGCGGCGUGCUUAACACAUGCAAGUCGAACGGUUAAGGCGGAGCUUUCUCUGCUGGAUCAGUGGCGAACGGGGGGGUAACACGUGAGCAAUCUGCCCCUGACUCUGGGAUAAGCGCUGGAAACGGCGGCUAAUACUGGAUACGAGCUGCGAAGGCAUCUUCAGCAGCUGGAAAGAGUUGCGGUAUGGGAUGAUCGAGAGGCCUAUCAGCUAGUUUGUGAGGUAAUGGCUGACCAAGGCGUCGACGGGUAGCCGGCCUGAGAGGGUGACCGGCCCCACUGGGCCUGAGACACGCUCCAGAAUCCAACCGGCCGCAACAGUCGGAAGUCUUACGGAAUGACCGCGCGUCUGAUGCAGAAGCGUUGGGUUCGGGAAGCAGGCCUGCGGGUUGUAAACCUCUUUUAGAAGGAAAGAAGCGAAUUUGACGGUACCUUAACAGAAAGCGCCGGCUAACUACGUG